UACGGGGGGAGCAAGCGUUGUUCGGAUUUACUGGGCGUAAAGGGCGCGUAGGCGGCCAGCACAAGUCAGUUGUGAAAUCUCCGAGCUUAACUCGGAAACUGCCGUUGAUACUAUAGAUCUUGAAUAUCGCGUAGGUAAGCGGAAUAUGUCAUGUAGCGGUGAAAUGCUUAGAUAUGACAUAGAACACCAAUUGCGAAGGCAGCUUACUUCACGAUCAUUGACACUGAGGCACGAAAGCGUGGGGAGCAAACAGG
rnacentral:rRNA from 1 species